rnacentral:misc_RNA from 1 species
UUUCCGUAGGUGAACCUGCGAAAGGAUCAUUAAAGUUAUAGUCCCCUGGCCCUCUGGGCUGGGGUCUUCUAUACCACCCUUUGUUUAUUACACCUUUGUUGCUUUGGCAGGCCUGCCCUCGGGCUGCUAGCUCCGGCCGGCGAGCGCCUGCAAGAGGACCUAAACUCUGUUUGUCUAUAAUGUCUGAGUACUAUAUAAUAGUUAAAACUUUCAACAACGGAUCUCUUGGUUCUG